rnacentral:rRNA from 1 species
AAUGAACGCUGGCGGCAUGCCUAACACAUGCAAGUCGAACGAGACCUUCGGAUCUAGUGGCGCACGGGUGCGUAACGCGUGGGAAUCUGCCCUUGGGUUCGGAAUAACAGUUAGAAAUGACUGCUAAUACCGGAUGAUGUCGUAAGACCAAAGAUUUAUCGCCCAAGGAUGAGCCCGCGUAGGAUUAGCUAGUUGGUGAGGUAAAAGCUCACCAAGGCGACGAUCCUUAGCUGGUCUGAGAGGAUGAUCAGCCACACUGGGACUGAGACACGGCCCAGACUCCUACGGGAGGCAGCAGUGGGGAAUAUUGGACAAUGGGCGAAAGCCUGAUCCAGCAAUGCCGCGUGAGUGAUGAAGGCCUUAGGGUUGUAAAGCUCUUUUACCCGGGAUGAUAAUGACAGUACCGGGAGAAUAAGCUCCGGCUAACUUCGUGCCAGCAGCCGCGGUAAGAC